rnacentral:rRNA from 1 species
GAUGAACGCUAGCGGCAGGCUUAAUACAUGCAAGUCGAGGGGCAGCACGGGUAGCAAUACCUGGUGGCGACCGGCAAACGGGUGCGGAACACGUACGCAACCUACCCAAAACUGAGGAAUAGCCCGGGGAAACCCGGAUUAAUACUUCGUAACAUAUUAGAGUGGCAUCACUUUAUUAUUAUAGCUCUGGCGGUUUUGGAUGGGCGUGCGCCUGAUUAGGUAGUUGGCAGGGUAACGGCCACCAAGCCUACGAUCAGUAACUGGUGUGAGAGCACGACCAGUCACACGGGCACUGAGACACGGGCCCGAUCCUAGGGAGGCAGCAGUAAGGAAUAUU